UGUUUAACAGCACACUUACAGAAGAUGAUGUUUUUUUAUGUCCAGUUGAUGGGUCCAUUAUGAUAACAGGUAGAUUAAACAUGUUAUUAAACAUAUCCGGUGUGCUAUGGGAAAUUGCUAUAGCUUGCAGGAAGACCAUAUAUAUUUAAUUUUCAUGGGUCUUGCAGUAAAAUAGGACCAUUAGAUAUGUAAUUUUCAUAUAUUGUAAUUUUGCAUUUUGUAAUAUAAUGUAUAAAUACCAAAUAAUAUAAUAUGUAGGGAAUUGCAUUAUGUGUUGCAUGCAUUUUACAUGAUAAA